CCUACGGGAGGCUGCAGUGAGGUAUAUUGGUCAAUGGUCGGGAGACUGAACCAGCCAAGCCGCGUGAGGGAUGAAGGUACAGAGUAUCGUAAACCUCUUUUGUCAGGGAACAAAGGCGGGGACGUGUCCCCGGAUGAGUGUACCUGAAGAAAAAGCAUCGGCUAACUCCGGGCCAGCAGCCGCGGUAAGACGGGGGAUGCGAGCGUUAUCCGGAUUGAUUGGGUUGAAAGGGUGCGCAGGCGGUCUGUUAAGUCAGCGGUCAAAGCCCGGGGCUCAACCCCGGCCCGCCGUUGAAACUGGCAGUCUCGAGUGGGAGAGAAGUAUGCGGAAUGCGCGGUGUAGCGGUGAAAUGCAUAGAUAUCGCGCAGAACUCCGAUUGCGAAGGCAGCAUGCCGGCUCCACACUGACGCUGAGGCACGAAAGCGUGGGUAUCGAACAGGAUUAGAUACCCUUGUAGUC
rnacentral:rRNA from 1 species